UACGUAGGGGGCUAGCGUUGUCCGGAAUCAUUGGGCGUAAAGCGCGUGUAGGCGGUUCGGUAAGUCCGCUGUGAAAGUCCAGGGCUCAACCCUGGGAUGCCGGUGGAUACUGUCGGGCUCGAGUCCGGAAGAGGCGAGUGGAAUUCCUGGUGUAGCGGUGAAAUGCGCAGAUAUCAGGAGGAACACCAAUGGCGAAGGCAGCUCGCUGGGACGUGACUGACGCUGAGACGCGAAAGCGUGGGGAGCAAACAGG
rnacentral:rRNA from 1 species